rnacentral:rRNA from 1 species
GAUGAACGCUGGCGGCGUGCUUAACACAUGCAAGUCGAACGAUGAUGCCCAGCUUGCUGGGUGGAUUAGUGGCGAACGGGUGAGUAACACGUGAGUAACCUGCCCUUGACUCUGGGAUAAGCCUGGGAAACUGGGUCUAAUACCGGAUACGACCAUCUGGCGCAUGUCAUGGUGGUGGAAAGCUUUUGUGGUUUUGGAUGGACUCGCGGCCUAUCAGCUUGUUGGUGGGGUAAUGGCCUACCAAGGCGACGACGGGUAGCCGGCCUGAGAGGGUGACCGGCCACACUGGGACUGAGAGACGGCCCAGACUCCUACGGGAGGCAGCAGUGGGGAAUAUUGCACAAUGGGCGCAAGCCUGAUGCAGCGACGCCGCGUGAGGGAUGACGGCCUUCGGGUUGUAAACCUCUUUCAGUAGGGAAGAAGCGAAAGUGACGGUACCUGCAGAAGAAGCGCCGGCUAACUACGUG